rnacentral:rRNA from 1 species
UACGUAGGUGGCAAGCGUUAUCCGGAAUUAUUGGGCGUAAAGCGCGCGCAGGCGGUUUCUUAAGUCUGAUGUGAAAGCCCACGGCUCAACCGUGGAGGGUCAUUGGAAACUGGGGAACUUGAGUGCAGAAGAGAAAAGCGGAAUUCCACGUGUAGCGGUGAAAUGCGUAGAGAUGUGGAGGAACACCAGUGGCGAAGGCGGCUUUUUGGUCUGUAACUGACGCUGAGGCGCGAAAGCGUGAGGAGCAAACAGG